ACGACCUUACUUGAACAGGAUCUGUUCUAUAGGCUCGUACCUCUGUAUCCUUAAGUUCUAAGGAGACAGGAACUGAAGUCUGGUGGAUGAACCAUGACCCUGUGAUCAGAGCGUGAUUGACGGUAGUGGUGGUCUUCUCUGCGGACUAGGCUCAUCACCAACUGUAGAGGAUCGUUCCCGUUCUUACGAAUUGGGAUGGUCGCAGGGUUGUCUGACAGACU
rfam:Vigna angularis cultivar Jingnong 6 chromosome 3, whole genome shotgun sequence.